UGAAGAUUUAUUCAAUGUGGCCAGGCC
rnacentral:piRNA from 1 species